ACCGAAGUGGUGGAAUUGGUAGACACGUCGCUUUGAGGGAGCGAUAGCUAAUUAAUUUAUAGCUGUAUCGGUUCGAAUCCGAUCUUCGGUA
rnacentral:tRNA from 1 species